rnacentral:rRNA from 1 species
GUGAGUAACGCGUGGGUAACCUGCCCUGUACACACGGAUAACAUACCGAAAGGUAUGCUAAUACGAGAUAAUAUACUUUUAUCGCAUGGUAGAAGUAUCAAAGCUCCGGCGGUACAGGAUGGACCCGCGUCUGAUUAGCUAGUUGGUGAGGUAACGGCUCACCAAGGCGACGAUCAGUAGCCGACCUGAGAGGAUGAUCGGCCACGUUGGAACUGAGACACGGUCCAAACUCGUGCGGGAGGCAGCAGUGGGGAA